ACGACCUUACUUGAACAUAUUCUGUUUUAUAGGAUCAUACCGUUGCAUCCUUGAUUAAUAAAGAGGCAAGAACUUAAGUACA
rnacentral:snoRNA from 7 species